rnacentral:lncRNA from 1 species
GAUGGAUGGGCAAUUUGACAGACUAGAUGAGCUCAUCUACGUGGAGAGCCAUCUAAGCAACCUCUCAACUAAAUUCUACGGAGAGGUGACACAGCAAAUGCUAAAGCAUGCAGACUUCCCAGGAAGCAACAAUGGAACAGGUCUCUUCCAGACCAUCGUUGGACUGAAGAUUAGAGAUCUCUAUGAACAGAUAGUUGCUGAGAGGGCUGGUGCACCAGUUGAGUCAGCGAAAGUUUAAUGAUCUCCACAUUCAGAUUUCCUACACCUCUUCAAACUCAAUGAGAAUGAGAAUCCUCGCAUUUCCUGUAAUUAGUUCGGAUAUAUCACAGCUAGAAGGAGGUAGAAAUGUCAUUGCAGUGCUCAGGAAAACAUGCAAUGGAAUUUCUAGAAAUCCCUCGCCAUGGGGGUGCUCUUGCAUCUCUUUUUCACAUGUUUGAAUGUAUACCUCUUCCAUGCUUUUAUGCAGAAAGAAAUACAACUGCCUGGUGCCUGGU